rnacentral:rRNA from 1 species
GGCGAACGCUGGCGGCGUGCUUAACACAUGCAAGUCGAACGGAAAGGCCCUGCUUUUGUGGGGUGCUCGAGUGGCGAACGGGUGAGUAACACGUGAGUAACCUGCCCUUGACUUUGGGAUAACUUCAGGAAACUGGGACUAAUACCGGAUAGGAGCUCCUGCUGCAUGGUGGGGGUUGGAAAGUUUCGGCGGUUGGGGAUGGACUCGCGGCUUAUCAGCUUGUUGGUGGGGUAGUGGCUUACCAAGGCUUUGACGGGUAGCCGGCCUGAGAGGGUGACCGGCCACAUUGGGACUGAGAUACGGCCCAGACUCCUACGGGAGGCAGCAGUGGGGAAUAUUGCACAAUGGGCGGAAGCCUGAUGCAGCAACGCCGCGUGCGGGAUGACGGCCUUCGGGUUGUAAACCGCUUUCGCCUGUGACGAAGCGUGAGUGACGGUAAUGGGUAAAGAAGCACCGGCUAACUACGUG